UUUCCGUAGGUGAACCUGCGGAAGGAUCAUUAAAGAGUAAGGGUCUUCUAGGCCCGACCUCCCAACCCUUUGUUUACCGAACCAUUGUUGCUUCGGCAGGCCCGUCCCAGGACCGCCGGAGGACCGUCAAACGUCCUCUGGCCCGCGCCCGUCGAUGGCCCCUAUCAUUAAACUCUGAACCAAACGUGUCCUGUCUGAGUGAUUAUUAUCAAAAAUUAAAGCAAAACUUUCAACAACGGAUCUCUUGGUUCUG
rnacentral:misc_RNA from 1 species